UGAGUAAUACAUCGGAACGUGUCUUCUAGUGGGGGAUAACUGCCCAAAGGGCAGCUAAUACCGCAUGAGACCUGAGGGUGAAAGCGGGGGAUCGCAAGACCUCGCGCUGGAAGAGCGGCCGAUGUCCGAUUAGCUAGUUGGUGAGGUAAAGGCUCACCAAGGCGACGAUCGGUAGCUGGUCUGAGAGGACGACCGGCCACACUGGGACUGAGACACGGCCCAG
rnacentral:rRNA from 1 species